GCGCGAUGCGCACUGCGCGUCAGUCUACGUCAAUCUCCCCUCCACCGUCUCCUACUGCGCAGCACGACGAAGCAAGAGAGAAGCAUCUCUCUCUCUCUCUCUCUCUCUUUGAAGAUGUUUUCAAAAAAUCGUUUUCUUAUCAAGAAUAUGUAUGUCACAGUGUGCUAUCUACAUGAGGGUUGACAUGGUUUUGUGAUGAAGCUAUGGAAGAUACGAAGAUAUAAUUUCCAAGCAGAUAAAAUAGGAUCGAAAUAUCUGAUGUGAAAUUCUAGAUUUUUCUACAAGGCUCCAGCGAGACAAGAUAAGGAAUCUUACAAUUUUGUUUAAUAUGAUGGAAAUGUUACAUGAAAAGGUAUUUUUCUCUCUGUUUUUAUAAAAAGUGUAAAUCUUGUGCAUAUAAAACUUGUGUAUAAACUCGUAUGUAUAAAGCUCGUAACAAAAAUUAAUGAGAAAUGUA